UACGAAGGGGGCUAGCGUUGUCCGGAAUCAUUGGGCGUAAAGCGCGUGUAGGCGGUCCGGUAAGUCCGCUGUGAAAGUCGGGGGCUCAACCCUCGGAUGCCGGUGGAUACUGUCGGGCUUGAGUACGGAAGAGGAGAGUGGAAUUCCUGGUGUAGCGGUGAAAUGCGCAGAUAUCAGGAAGAACACCCGUGGCUAAGGCGGCUCUCUAGUACGGUACUGACGCUGAGACGCGAAAGCGUGGGGAGCGAACAGG
rnacentral:rRNA from 1 species